rnacentral:rRNA from 1 species
AAUGAACGUUGGCGGCGUGGAUUAGGCAUGCAAGUCGAGCGAGAAGAGUUUGGUAGCUUGCUAUUGAACUCGGACAGCGGCGAAAGGGAGAGUAACGCGUAGUUACGUGCCCCAGGGUUCGGAAUAGCCACGGGAAACUGUGGGUAAUGCCGAAUAACAUCUCCGGAUCAAAGGUGUGAUUCCGCCCUGGGAGCGGACUGCGUCCUACUAGCUAGUUGGCGGGGUAAUGGCCCACCAAGGCGACAAUGGGUAGCGGGUGUGAGAGCAUGACCCGUCUCACUGGGACUGGGACACUGCCCAGACACCUACGGGUGGCUGCAGUCGAGAAUCUUCGGCAAUGGGCGAAAGCCUGACCGAGCGACGCCGCGUGCGGGAUGAAGGCCCUCGGGUUGUAAACCGCUGUCGUAGGGGAGGAAGGCUCCGUGAAGAACGGGGUUUGACCUAGCCUAGGAGGAAGUACGGGCUAAGUUCGUGCCAGCAGCCGCCGCAG